GGUGGCUCAGUGGUGGAGUGUUUGCCUUGCAUGCAUGAGGCUCUGGGUUCAAUUCCUCAGCACCA
rnacentral:tRNA from 1 species